UACGUAGGCAGCGAGCGUUGUUCGGAAUUACUGGGCGUAAAGAGUGUGUAGGCGGUGCUCCCAGUCUGAUGUGAAAUCUCCCGGCUUAACUGGGAGGGUGCAGCGGAAACUAGAGUGCUAGAGGGUGGGAGAGGUAAGCGGAAUUCCUGGUGUAGCGGUGAAAUGCGUAGAUAUCAGGAGGAACACCUGUGGUGUAGACAGCUUACUGGACCACUUCUGACGCUGAGACACGAAAGCGUGGGUAGCAAACAGG
rnacentral:rRNA from 1 species